rnacentral:lncRNA from 1 species
CAAUAUGUAUCUAAUACAGCGAUACGUUACAAAUUGAAAAAAACUAGAUACGUUACAUUUAAGAUACAUAUAUAAAAAUAAAAAUUAAAUACUUAAUAAAAGCAUAGUCUUUAUAACAAAAUUUUAAUAUAUUACUAUAUAUUACUGAAAAAUAUUAAAUUUAAGAUAUUGGAAUAAUAUCAAUGUCGUAUCCUCCUUCGCCAUCAUCG